GGGUUUGUAGCUCAGUUGGUUAGAGCACCGCUCUGAUAAGGCGGGGGUCAGUGGUUCGAGUCCACUCAAGCCCACCA
rnacentral:tRNA from 1 species